AUCUUUUGCACUAAUAAAAACAUAGGGUCAUGCGGCAUUUUUGGGCAUUCACAUGGCCUUGUUUACAAACAAUGUAGAUUCGCACUGAAUUCCUAUACUGACCCCCAUUACUUUUCAACCCUGUAGUAAAAAUAUUUAGUACAUUCAGCAUUUAUUUUUUAUUUUUUUUCAACUCUAGUUUUGAUCCAUCUACCAAAAAAUAUUUAUUACAAACAUUAUCUACCAAUCAGAAGAGC
rnacentral:lncRNA from 1 species